AUUGAACGCUGGCGGCAGGCCUAACACAUGCAAGUCGAACGGUAGCACAGAGAGCUUGCUCUCGGGUGAUGAGUGGCGGACGGGUGAGUAACGUCUGGGAAACUGCCCGAUGGAGGGGGAUAACUACUGGAAACGGUAGCCAAUACCGCAUAACGUCGCAAGACCAAAGAGGGGGACCUUCGGGCCUCUCACUAUCGGAUGAACCCAGAUGGGAUUAGCUAGUAGGCGGGGUAAUGGCCCACCUAGGCGACGAUCCCUAGCUGGUCUGAGAGGAUGACCAGCCACACUGGAACUGAGACACGGUCCAGACUCCUACGGGAGGCAGCAGUGGGGAAUAUUGCACAAUGGGCGCUAGCCUGAUGCAGCCAUGCCGCGUGUAUGAAGAAGGCCUUCGGGUUGUAAAGUACUUUCAGCGGGGAGGAAGGCGGUGAGGUUAAUAACCUCGCCGAUUGACGUUACCCGCAGAAGAAGCACCGGCUAACUCCGUGCCAGCAGCCGCCGUAA
rnacentral:rRNA from 1 species